GGGGUAAGGGGGAUACCUAGUCAUUUUUUGCGUCAUCAUUGCUUGCGAUCAUCAUUCUCAAAGCUGCUGUUUACUUCUAAGAUCACUUUAGCACUGCACUAAAAGCCCGAUUCAAAUUCGACACAAACCUUCAAAUAGAUGGGUGGACUGGAAAACCAGUGACAACUUUCGGCUCUGCAGCUACCAUUUUUUCCGAUGGGAAAGAGAAAGUGACCUGUAUUUACAAGAAAAUGUAUCUAUCUCAUCCCCCAUGGCAGAAGAUGGAGAUCCAGACUGUUGAUUGGGAAACAAGAACAAAUAAUGAGACAUGAGGAUUGGGUGUUGAGGGACCACUUGUCACAUUGUCCAAGGUGGAUGGACAUGAACAUCCUGUGCAUGGACAUCCUGUGCCAGUGUGAUCUGAGCGCAAGCGCCCUGGUGUCCCUUUUAUUUUAUUUAUUUAACCUUUAUUUAACUAGUCAAGUCAGUUAAGAACAAAUUCUUAUUUACAAUGGGGGCCUACCAAAAGGCCUCCUGCGGGGACGGGGGCCUGUGAUUAAAAAAAUAUUUUACAAAUAUUUAUUAAACUGUAAUUUUCACAUGGGGACAAGUGCAGUUUUUCCAUAAACUUUUAAUUGGUAACUUGGGAUUUUAUCACUUGACAUAUCAAUCAUAUAGUGAGAAGGAUACUACAAAUCAGAACUGUGUGAAUGCAUGUACCACUCCGAAUAAAUACUGUGCCUUUGAA